rnacentral:rRNA from 1 species
CCUACGGGAGGCAGCAGUAAGGAAUAUUGGUCAAUGGACGCAAGUCUGAACCAGCCAUGUCGCGUGCAGGAUGAAGGCCCUCUGGGUUGUAAACUGCUUUUAUAGGGGACGAAAAAGGGACUUUCUAGUUCAACUGACGGUACCCUAGGAAUAAGCACCGGCUAACUCCGUGCCAGCAGCCGCGGUAAUACGGAGGGUGCAAGCGUUAUCCGGAUUUACUGGGUUUAAAGGGUGCGUAGGUGGGUCGGUAAGUCAGCGGUGAAAUCUUCAAGCUUAACUUGGAAACUGCCAUUGAUACUAUCGAUCUUGAAUCAUCUGGAGGUAAGCGGAAUAUGUCAUGUAGCGGUGAAAUGCUUAGAUAUGACAUAGAACACCAAUUGCGAAGGCAGCUUACUACGGAUGUAUUGACACUGAGGCACGAAAGCGUGGGGAUCAAACAGGAUUAGAUACCCUGGUAGUCCACGCCCUAAACGAUGGAUACUCGACAUACGUGAUAUACUAUGUGUGUCUGAGCGAAAGCAUUAAGUAUCCCACCUGGAAGUACGAUCGCAGAUUGAAACUUAAAGGAAAUUGACGG